rnacentral:SRP_RNA from 1 species
CCGUGCUAGACGGGGAGGUAGCGGUGCCCUGUACCCGCAAUCCGCUAUAGCGGGGUUUAAUUCCUGCCCCCGGCCGCGCAUUUUUAGGGUCUGCGCCAUGUAAGUGGUGUCGAAGGCCCGGUCCCGUGCGGCGCAAGCUCAUGAACCCCGUCAGGUCCGGAAGGAAGCAGCGGUAAAUGAGUUCUUGUGGGUGCCACGGGGUUACCGGGCUGGAGCUAACUGCCUGGUAUGCGCCUGGGGGUGCCGGUCAAAGGCAGGUGCGCGG